UCCAAUUGUGGUGUGCUCGUCGGUUCUUCUGCCAGAGUCUGCCAAAGCUGGUUCUUUAUUCUACGAGUCUGCUUCGUUGCCGUUUCAUGGAAUCUCCACAAUUUCCUCAAAAUACACUGUACAGCCAAAGGACAUCAUGCAUACUCAACGGUAAAAUUCCAAGUAUCAGAAGACGAUUGCAAGGCUUCGAAGACAGCAGGUGAAGACCCCCAACACAAAGUGCUUAAUUGCAGCUGUUUAAUGACGGACACACUGGCUUACACAUUCGAGAUGAGGAUGUUGGUGCGUGCUCAAUUAUUUUUGCAGCCAUUUUAUUUUGGCACGCAAUUAUUCACAUAAUUUUGCUGCCCUAAUUGACCCUCCUUCGCAGUACAAGAAAAAAUGUCAUAUUUUUUUCCUUCUAGAACAAUCUCAUUUUGAGCAAUUUAAUUGCUGGCGUGUACGUGCAGUUUUUUCUUUCAUUAUCUGGGUAGUUGCAACACGUCUUCUAUGUAUUUUGCUUGUGCAAAGUUAUGACCAUCACGGCAUUAAUUUCCGACUAUUCUCUAUUAUACCGGUGUUACACGACCACUUUCAAUCACGAUCAAGCCCGAUCCGGAUCGAAAUUCUUGACUGAUGUUGGCUCCAUUGCGCAGCUUGCGCAAAAGAACGAAUCGCGACAGAGAAAUUCAAAUCAGAUUGGGCUUGGUCGCGUGUAAAAGUGCGUCGUGCGACACCAGCAUUACUUACAUUGCGCUGUUUCUUCCCGUUUUCAUGUAUCUGCCUCUUACAAUCUUGCUGCAAUAAAUUGUUGUCUGCUUA